GGAGGAGGAAUGUGGAAGGCGGCGGCGCAGCACAGGCUGACAGGCGGUUCCUCCGGCGGGCUGCGGCGGCGGCCCGAGCGUCCCCUCGUCGCGGUGCCCUGGGCUCGCGCGGAAUCGUACGCCCUCCCGCCUCGUCCCUGAAGGGAAGGAGCCGAGUCCGAGAGAUUUGGCGCUUCCCGACCUGUUGGAAGAUUUAUGUUCCCACUUGCUUCCUCCUUCCCGUUUCUGACCUGGAAGGGGGCGGAGGGCCCCACGUCCCCGCGAAAAUACACCUCAGAUCUUCUUAGCGGGUCCUGCGGGGUCGGUCCUCUCUCGUUGGAAGUCACCCUGGCAGGUAGCUGGAGCUCGAGCCUUCGCGGCGCCCUGUCCCUCCCCCGCCGCACCCA
rnacentral:lncRNA from 1 species